rnacentral:tRNA from 1 species
GGUGGCUCAGUGGUAGUGCGCUUGCUUUGCAUGCAUGAAGCCCUGGGUUCGAUUCCUCAGCACCA